rnacentral:tRNA from 1 species
AUUUUCUUAGUAUAAUUAGUACUAAUGACUUCCAAUCAUUAAGCCCUGGUUAAACCCCGGGAGAAAGUA